GACCGGAGCUAUCAACCACUCGGCCAUCUCUCCCAGAGGUA
rnacentral:tRNA from 3 species